rnacentral:tRNA from 1 species
GCCGUUGUAGCUCAGUUGGCAGAGCGCAUCCAUGGUAAGGAUGAGGUCCGCGGUUCGAUUCCGCGCAACGGCU